rnacentral:snRNA from 1 species
AUACUACCUGGCAAGGGAGACACCGUGAACAGAAGGCGGUUCACCCAGGCGAGGCUCAGCCAUUGCACUCCGGCUUUGCUGACCCUGCGAAUUUCUCAAUGUGGAAACUCGAUGCAUAAUUUCUGGUAGUGGGGGACUGCGUUCGCGCUCUCCCCUC